GACAGAGGGUGCAAACGUUGUUCGGAAUUACUGGGCGUAAAGCGCGUGUAGGCGGCUAUGUGUGUCGGGCGUGAAAUCCCAUGGUUCAACCAUGGAAGUGCACCCGAAACUGCAUAGCUAGAGUCCUGGAGAGGAAGGUGGAAUGCUUGGUGUAGAGGUGAAAUUCGUAGAUAUCAAGCGGAACACCGGUGGCGAAGGCGGCCUUCUGGACAGUGACUGACGCUGAGACGCGAAAGCGUGGGGAGCAAACAGG
rnacentral:rRNA from 1 species